rnacentral:lncRNA from 1 species
UUAAAAGGCAUCCCUUACGCCUUUGAAAAGUGUAGAGUAUCACGAAGUGUCUGUGUUCAUUUUCUGACCGUAAACUGAAAUACUGGUGAACAAACGUGGGGUGCGAGCGGGUGAGCGGGGCGGCCGGCCGGUGCCCGCUGCAUCCAGAGGGGGCGCUGCAGGCCUCCCUUCGGCUGCGCACGGCCCGGGCCCUCCGCGGCUCUGCAACUCUGCACCCCGAAAGGUUCGGUGCUGGACCGCGGGGCAUCCAACCCGGGACCGGGGGCGACCCACGGACACUGAGGAAACUACCGCCUAUAAGCCUAUCAUCAGAACCUCUGGCACAACACAGGGCCAGAAACACCAGCAUCCAAGAUGAAGGCAAUUUUCUGUUUAUGGACUGAGUACCCCACAAAAGAUCUUAUUCUGAAGGCCAUGGAACAUGUCUACCCACAUGGAUCAAGUGGGCAGACUGGAGGAGAAACAGUUUAAAGGCCCUGGGGGAAGGAGGGAGCGCCAGGGAGAGCUCCUGAAGACAACAGGAAUUCCAAGUCUGGCACUCGGGAGAAAUCCUCCCUUCAGACAUUAUUGAUGUCUGGCCGAGGAGUUAGGAAAAACUUCCUUGAAGGAGGGAUUGAGGUUGAGAUGGGCAUGGAACCCAGAUCUUAGGCAGAGAAAGCAUAUUCCUGUUUGGAAGAACCCUGAGUACAGAAGUCAGCUCAAAGAUAUCAGCUUGGCCCAACCAGGAAUUCGCUGUGGGAAGUCUAAGAGAGAAAAUGCUGGCCAUAAUCCCCCAGGAGCCAAAGAGUUAACGAAUCUUCUAAAUGUGCCUGAUUUACUUCCAGAAAGGAGCUUCCUCCGCAGGGGGAGAAUUUGACCCAAGGUAUAAAACACUUGGAGCCCUGAGAAAACACACAGCCACACAUAAAUUCAAAGUCGGCUCUGGCUUGCUCGAAGUUGCACCCUUUCAGUUCCUCUGGACAGAUGCUAUCCUGGACUGUGCAGGAUAUCUCAUGCAGUAGUACUCCCUCAGCCAGUGGCUUAUCACACAUUCUUGUCACAUUCCAAGUCUAACACAGUUCCGCCUCAUGAUAAGACCUCAGAUCUGUGCAAAAAUUCAUGUAGAAAGCUCUGCAUUUAUUAUCUCGCUGAUUCACAACAGUGGUAUGGGAUCAGCAGAGAUGGUACCACAGAUUCAAGAACCAUAUUUUUCUAACCCCAGUUUGAGACCCAUAAUAUGACAAGUGCAGGAUAUUUAUGGAGACAACAAGACACAACCGGGACUGCCACUUUCAAGAGCCAUCAUUGUAGAUUCAAAUCAACUAAAACACUUCAUAAUGGGAGAAACUUGGUUGAACAGGAGCACAUGUUAACGAAGGGGUUUUGGUUGAGAAACUUACUGAAUCAGUAAGACAGGACCCUUAAAAAGGCUACUGUGACUGCAGACUGAGGGGAAGUACCAAAAAUAAGCUAAUCCUACUCUAUUAUGCUGGUUAGAACUCACAGAAAGCAUUUUAUUCUGUUCUACAGAGCAGAUACAUAUUGAAACAGAGACAAAUAGGAAUGUGUUCAGAGAAGGUCAACUAAAUGAAUUGCAAACUGAAGGUGUAACAGUUCUCGUAUUUUAAGCUCCUACCAUGAGCAUGGAUCUUCACCCAACAUAUCCCUGAUCCUCACAGUAGCCUGGCUAGAUGAGUAUUUUCACUCACAGAUUUCAGAGAGAGAUACGGCAGCUCGGAACGCUAAGUGUUAGGAUGUGAAGGGGCUGGGAACUGAACGCAGAUGUGCCUGGCUCCAAAGUUGGCCUUCUUUCCACUACUCCACACUGCCUCCCUGUUUGAAAUAGAUGGGCAUGUUUGGUUUGAAGAAAAGAAGCCUUGUGGAGUAAGUAGAAGAAGGAAAUGUGUUAGCAGUCCUCAAAUAUUUGUGGAAGCAGCAUUAGACAUUUUAUUCUGUAUGGCUCCAAUGAGUGCAAAUUGUAGAGAAACAGAUGUCGAUUCAACAUAAAGAAUUUUCCAACAUAGGGGCUGUCUAGAGGGAUUGGGUGGCUCAGCCAUUUUGGUAUGGGACAAAUUCUCUGUCCACUGGGGGCUGGGUAACCCUGUGGCAGGUAUGCGAGCUCUGCAUGUAAGACAAUGAAUGACCUGCAAGGUCUUUUCCCAUCUGAUGUAAAAUAAGGCUCCAAGAUGAACUGGAACUUGGCCAGGGUGAUCCUCUACUGAGGGGACAAAUUCACAGCUCAGUCUUCCCUAGUUAUGUCCCUCAGCCCAGAACCCUUGGUACAACAUGCUGCUUUGUACUGAGGGCAAGGCAAAUUGAAGACAUUAUCAUCAAUAAAAUCACAUCGAGCCCGCUCUCAACCAAAUUAACCAAUGUGGCCGGGCGCAGUGGCUCAUGCCUGUAAUCCCAGCACUUUGAGGCUGAAGCAGGCGGAUCACUUCAGGUCAGGAGUUCGAGACCAGCCUGGCCAACAUGGUGAAACCCCGUCUCUACCAAAAAUACAAAAAUUAGCCAUGUGUAGUGGUGUGUGCCUGUAGUCCCAGCUACUUGGGAGGCUGAGGCAGGAGAAUAGCUUGAGUCCCGGAGGCAGAAGUUGCAGUGAGAUGAGAUGGCGUCACUGCACUCCAGCCUGGGUGACAGAGCGAGACUUCAUCUCAAAAACAAAACCAAACAAAAACAAAUUAACCAAUAUAUCCCUGAAGCUACUGGUGUGUUCCUCUUCAGGCCCAUUUUUGAGUAAAAGUGUUUGGCUGUAAAAAGCUCAAAAGAUGAGUGGCAGACGAGGGAAGCAGUGGAACUGAAUAAUCUCUUACCCAAAUAAGAUGAACCUAAAUGACAGAUGGUUGUUUCUCCAGGUGACAGUAUUAGUGGGCACCCCUAAACUAUCUUCACACACCCUCUGCAUUACUCCACACAUCCCAUUAUCCCACAGCUGGUACUUCUUCACCAGGUACUCCUGCCCCACUAUCCCACACCUAGAGGACAUUUUAUCCACUCAAACAGAUAAAUAGGCUGAAGGAUUCUAAUUAAGUAAUAGAAUCUUGCAUUUUUAUAGCUCUUUACCCUUUCACAUAUAUCAUCUCAUUUGUCACUCACCACAGUCCCCUAAGGAAAACAGCUACUUUCUUUCAGACAGGCAAUUUUCUAGCUGCCUGGGAGCUAGGAGGAGGAAAGGGCUUCAGCACAGGCACAGUCGCUCUUUCUCGCUUUUUUUUUUUUUUCCUGUUACUACCUUCCCACAUUAGAUUAUGCCUCCAGCCAGAAU